rnacentral:rRNA from 1 species
UACAAUGAAGAGUUUGAUCCUGGCUCAGGAUGAACGCUAGCGGCAGGCUUAAUACAUGCAAGUCGAGGGGCAGCGCGGUUUGUAGCAAUACAGACUGGCGGCGACCGGCGCACGGGUGCGUAACGCGUAUGCAACCCACCCGCCACAGGGGGAUAACCCGGAGAAAUCCGGACUAAUACCGCAUGAGAUAUNGGGGAGGCAUCUUCCCAGUAUUAAAGAUUCAUCGGUGGCGGACGGGCAUGCGUCCCAUUAGCUAGUUGGCGGGGCAACGGCCCACCAAGGCGACGAUGGGUAGGGGAUCUGAGAGGACGACCCCCCACAUUGGUACUGAGACAGGG